AGAGUUUGAUCCUGGCUCAGAAUCAACGCUGGCGGCGUGCCUAACACAUGCAAGUCGAACGAGAAAGCUGUCUUCGGACGGCAAGUACAGUGGCAAACGGGUGAGUAACGCGUGGGACAUCUACCCUGAUGAGGGGAAUAACUCUCCGAAAGGAAAGCUAAUACCGCAUAUACCGUGAAAACGGGAAAGGCCCUCGGGUCGCAUCAGGAGGAGCCCGCGUCCGAUUAGCUAGUUGGUGAGGUAAUGGCUCACCAAGGCGACGAUCGGUAGCCGGUCUGAGAGGACGGACGGCCACACUGGGACUGAGACACGGCCCAGACUCCUACGGGAGGCAGCAGUGGGGAAUUUUGGGCAAUGGGCGAAAGCCUGACCCAGCAACGCCGCGUGGAGGAAGAAGGUUUUCGGAUCGUAAACUCCUGUCCCAUGAGACGAAAAAAAUGACGGUAUCAUGGGAGGAAGCCCCGGCUAACUCCGUGCCAGCAGCCGCGGUAAUACGGGGGGGGCAAGCGUUGUUCGGAAUUACUGGGCGUAAAGGGCGCGUAGGCGGCUUCGGAAGUCAAGGGUGAAAGCCCCGAGCUCAACUCGGGAACUGCCUUUGAAACCACGGAGCUGGAGUGUUGGAGAGGAAAGCGGAAUUUCCAGUGUAGCGGUGAAAUGCGUAGAUAUUGGAAGGAACAUCUGAGGCGAAGGCGGCUUUCUGGACAGACACUGACGCUGAGGCGCGAAAGCCAGGGGAGCAAACGGGAUUAGAUACCCCGGUAGUCCUGGCUGUGAACGAUGAACACUUGGUGUGGGGGGUAUAAAGUCCCUCCGUGCCGUAGAUAACUCGAUAAGUGUUCCGCCUGGGGAGUACGGCCGCAAGGCUGAAACUCAAAGGAAUUGACGGGGGCCCGCACAAGCGGUGGAGCAUGUGGUUUAAUUCGACGCAACGCGAAGAACCUUACCGGGGUUUGAACUGUACCUGCGACAUCCAGAGAUGGAUGGUUUCCUUAGGGAGCUGGUAUAGAGGUGCUGCAUGGCUGUCGUCAGCUCGUGUCGUGAGAUGUUGGGUUAAGUCCCGCAACGAGCGCAACCCUUGUCUGUAGUUGCCAUCAGGUUAAGCUGGGCACUCUACGGAGACUGUCGGCGAUAAGCCGGAGGAAGGUGGGGAUGACGUCAAGUCCUCAUGGCCUUUAUGUCCCGGGCUACACACGUGCUACAAUGGAUGGAACAGAGGGCUGCGAGCCUGCGAAGGCAAGCGAAUCCCAAAAAUCCAUUCUCAGUUCGGAUUGCAGUCUGCAACUCGACUGCAUGAAGUUGGAAUCGCUAGUAAUCGCGGAUCAGAACGCCGCGGUGAAUACGUUCCCGGGCCUUGUACACACCGCCCGUCACAUCACGAAAGUGGGCUGUACUAGAAGCCGCUGGCCUAACCUCUUCGGAGGAGGGAGGCGUCGACGGUAUGGUUCAUGAUUGGGGUGAAGUCGGAACAAGGUA
rnacentral:rRNA from 1 species